rnacentral:rRNA from 1 species
GAUGAACGCUGGCGGCGUGCCUAAUACAUGCCAGUCGAGCGAACAGACGAGGAGCUUGCUCCUCUGACGUUAGCGGCGGACGGGUGAGUAACACGUGGAUAACCUACCUAUAAGACUGGGAUAACUUCGGGAAACCGGAGCUAAUACCGGAUAACAUGUUGAACCGCAUGGUUUAACAGUGAAAGACGGUCUUGCUGUCACUUAUAGAUGGAUCCGCGCCGCAUUAGCUAGUUGGUAAGGUAACGGCUUACCAAGGCAACGAUGCGUAGCCGACCUGAGAGGGUGAUCGGCCACACUGGAACUGAGACACGGUCCAGACUCCUACGGGAGGCAGCAGUAGGGAAUCUUCCGCAAUGGGCGAAAGCCUGACGGAGCAACGCCGCGUGAGUGAAGAAGGUCUUCGGAUCGUAAAACUCUGUUAUUAGGGAAGAACAAAUGUGUAAGUAACUAUGCACGUCUUGACGGUACCUAAUCAGAAAGCCACGGCGAACUACGU